UUCCGAACCAUGCACUCUGAAUGCCUUCUUUGGCUUUGUAUUUCCUGCCUGCUGAUGACCACUUACAGCAGUUCAAUCCCAUACAGCGUCCAGGGCAGGGCAAAUAGGUGGAAAACAGUCCAGAACAGUCCAUGCAUCUGACAAGUGCAUGGAUUUACCCAUCUGGAAUACAACAUUCAGCAGCUACAGAACAAAGCCAUGUGCAACUGGACAGCAAUAAAUAUCCGGAAGACCUGAUACAACCAAAAUGGCAUUGAAGGAUCUGUCAAGAUCAACAGCAAGAAAACACUGGGCCAGCAGCGCUCUGCUGGAGACAGAAACAGCCCACCAUGGAUGAACACAGCAGGGAAGGGGCACUGCCCCGCCAUCUGGAAGGUGAUGUGGAGAAGGCAUCACAGGCCCGCACAGGUUCUUUCAUUGUUCUGGUGCGUCCUCUGGGUCAUGGACAGGGAGGAACACCCUGGAGGGUCAAGGCCACCUGCCCAGCAGUCUAGACCAGGUGAGUGUUUUCGGUGGUGAGGUAAGGUGAGGAU